rnacentral:rRNA from 1 species
AGAGUUUGAUUCUGGCUCAGGAUGAACGCUGGCGGCGUGCCUAACACAUGCAAGUCGAGCGGACCAAUGCUCAUUUCAGCUUUACUGAUUUGAGCAUUGGUUAGCGGCGGACGGGUGAGUAACGCGUGGGCAACCUGCCCUGUGCAGCGGGAUAACACAGCGAAAGCUGUGCUAAUACCCCAUAAGACUACGCUAUCGCAUGAUAGAGUAGUCAAAGCUUUAGCGGCACAGGAUGGGCCCGCGUCUGAUUAGCUAGUUGGUGGGGUAACGGCCUACCAAGGCGACGAUCAGUAGCCGACCUGAGAGGGUGAUCGGCCACACUGGAACUGAGACACGGUCCAGACUCCUACGGGAGGCAGCAGUGGGGAAUAUUGCACAAUGGGGGAAACCCUGAUGCAGCAACGCCGCGUGAGCGAAGAAGGCCUUCGGGUCGUAAAGCUCUGUCCUAAGGGAAGAAGUAUGACGGUACCUUAGGAGGAAGCCCCGGCUAACUACGUGCCAGCAGCCGCGGUAAUACGUAGGGGGCGAGCGUUAUCCGGAAUCACUGGGCGUAAAGGGUGCGUAGGCGGCCGAGUAAGCCAGAGGUGAAAGGCUACGGCUUAACCGUAGUAAGCCUUUGGAACUACUUGGCUUGAGUGCAGGAGAGGAGAGUGGAAUUCCUAGUGUAGCGGUGAAAUGCGUAGAUAUUAGGAGGAACACCAGUGGCGAAGGCGACUCUCUGGACUGUAACUGACGCUGAGGCACGAAAGCGUGGGGAGCAAACAGGAUUAGA